UUCUGCUCAGAGCAAACCUGCUGAAAGGCAGUGACGCAGAGCAACGGAACUAAAAAGGCAGUAACAGGUAAUGCGUAAUGGGUGAUGGGUAACAAAAGAAUCUGCUUUCACUCUUUACUCAUCACUGUCUUUAUGUUAGCCGAGCCGCCAGA
rnacentral:ncRNA from 1 species